GGGAAUGUGGCUCAGUGGUAGAGUGCUUGCCUAGCAUGCAUGAAGCCCUGGGUUCCAUUCCUC
rfam:Dipodomys ordii contig_55868, whole genome shotgun sequence.